GAUGAACGCUGGCGGCGUGCCUAAUACAUGCAAGUCGAGCGAACAGACGAGGAGCUUGCUCCUCUGACGUUAGCGGCGGACGGGUGAGUAACACGUGGAUAACCUACCUAUAAGACUGGGAUAACUUCGGGAAACCGGAGCUAAUACCGGAUAACAUGUUGAACCGCAUGGUUCAACAGUGAAAGACGGUCUUGCUGUCGCUUAUAGAUGGAUCCGCGCCGCAUUAGCUAGUUGGUAAGGUAACGGCUUACCAAGGCAACGAUGCGUAGCCGACCUGAGAGGGUGAUCGGCCACACUGGAACUGAGACACGGUCCAGACUCCUACGGGAGGCAGCAGUAGGGAAUCUUCCGCAAUGGGCGAAAGCCUGACGGAGCAACGCCGCGUGAGUGAAGAAGGCCUUCGGAUCGUAAAACUCUGUUAUUAGGGAAGAACAAAUGUGUAAGUAACUAUGCACGUCUUGACGGUACCUAAUCAGAAAGCCACGGCUAACUACGUG
rnacentral:rRNA from 1 species